GCCUUUGUGCUGUAGUAGUCAGCACACUCGGUGCGUAUUCGAGAGGUCCGUGGUUCGAAUCCCGGCGAGGGCA
rnacentral:tRNA from 1 species